UGCUGGAUCCUUGUAAACCCAUUCAGGGGCUAUUCAUUGAAAAAAUGCACAGUCUGUGAAUCUCUCAAUGAUACCAACAUGAAAGUAAUCUGUGGAAAGAAGAACCUCCAAACCAUACCAGAAGACAUUCCAAGAAAAGCUUACCUCUAGGACACAAAGCGGAGGAACGUCCGUGUGACUCAUCAGUAUGAUGCCUUCGUCUCCUACAAUGGCCACGAUGAGCCCUGGGUCCUGAGGGAACUUCUGCCAGAGCUGGAGGGAAACCAAGACUGGAAGCUGUGUCUACAUCACCGUGACUUCCAGCCAGGCAAACCCAUCGUAGACAACAUCACAGACGCCAUCUACGGGAGCCGCAAGACCAUCUGCAUGAUCAGCCGUCGCUAACUUUAUGAUGAAAUGUCAAAUGAAAUGUGUUAUGAAAUAUAUUAUGCUAUUUGAUGAUGAAUUUAUGAGGAAAUGUUUGACUUAUUUACUCGUUAUGUUCUCCUAGUUCUCUAGCUUUCUGGAACUUUAAAACGUUAGGUUUUAGGUGUAAGAGUUAAGAUUCUUGAAAUUGUUAAAUGUAAGUGAAAGCUUUAUAUAACCACCUUUUGUAUCUUUGUGAUGAAAAACGCUUUGAAAAUAAAAUGUCAAAUACA